AUUGAACGCUGGCGGCAGGCCUAACACAUGCAAGUCGAACGAGUGGCGGACGGGUGAGUAAUGUCUGGGAAACUGCCCGAUGGAGGGGGAUAACUACUGGAAACAGUAGCUAAUACCGCAUACCAUCGGAUGUGCCCAGAUGGGAUUAGCUAGGAGGUGGGGUAACGGCUCACCUAAGCGACGAUCCCUAGCUGGUCUGAGAGGAUGACCGGCCACACUGGAACGGAGAAACGGUACAGACGCCGACGGGGGGCAGCAGUGGGGAAUAAUGCACAAUGGGCGCAAGGCUGAUGCAGCCAUGCCGCGUGUAUGAAGAAGGCCUUCGGGUUGUAAAGUACUUUCAGAGAGGAGGCGUUACUAGCAGAAGGAGCACCGGCUAACGACGAGCCAGCAGCCGCGGUAAUAC
rnacentral:rRNA from 1 species